rnacentral:rRNA from 1 species
GACGAACGCUGGCGGCGUGCUUAACACAUGCAAGUCGAACGGAAAGGCUCCAGCUUGCUGGAGUACUCGAGUGGCGAACGGGUGAGUAACACGUGGGUAAUCUGCCCUGCACUCUGGGAUAAGCCUGGGAAACUGGGUCUAAUACUGGAUAUGACCUUUCUCCUUAUGGGGUUUGGUGGAAAGUUUUUCGGUGUAGGAUGAGCCCGCGGCCUAUCAGCUUGUUGGUGGGGUGAUGGCCUACCAAGGCGACGACGGGUAGCCGGCCGGAGGGGGUGGUCGGCAGCAUGGGGAAUGAGACAGCGCGGGGGCGCCUCCGGGGGGCACGGGCGGGGGGUGGUGCUCCAGGGGCGGAGGCUGAAUGCCGCGUCGCGGGGGGGGGGAGGACGGCGUUCGGGUCGUAAAGCACUUGCAGCAGGGAAGAGGCGUAAGUGACGGGACCAGCAGAAGGAGCACCGGCUAACUCUGU